rnacentral:rRNA from 1 species
AACGAACGCUGGCGGCGUGCCUAACACAUGCAAGUCGUGCGAGAAAGGUUCCUUCGGGAGCGAGUAAAGCGGCGCACGGGUGAGUAACACGUAGGUAACCUGCCCCCCAGUCUGGAACAACUAGAGGAAACUCUAGCUAAUGCCGGAUGAGACCACGAUCCCUUCGGGGGUUGCGGCCAAAGAUGGCCUCUACUUGUAAGCUAUCGCUGAGGGAUGGGCCUGCGGGCCAUUAGCUUGUUGGUGAGGUAACGGCUCACCAAGGCUGUGAUGGCUAGCUGGUCUGAGAGGAUGACCAGCCACACUGGGACUGAGACACGGCCCAGACUCCUACGGGAGGCAGCAGUGGGGAAUAUUGCGCAAUGGGCGAAAGCCUGACGCAGCGACGCCGCGUGGGUGA